rnacentral:rRNA from 1 species
UCGCUUCGGGAGGGUCUCGCGGCCCAUCAGCUAGUUGGUAAGGUAACGGCCUACCAAGGCGACGACGGGUAGGGGGCCUGAGAGGGUGAUCCCCCACACUGGCACUGAAACACGGGCCAGACACCUACGGGUGGCAGCAGUAGGGAAUCAUGUGCAAUGGGCGCGAGCCUGACACUGCAACGCCGCGUGCCCGAAGAAGGCCUUCGGGUCGUAAAGGGCUUUUCUGGAGGAAGAGAACGGACGGUACUCCAGGAAUAAGGAUCGGCUAACUACGUGCCAGCAGCCGCGGUAACACGUAGGAUCCGAGCGUUAUCCGAAUUUACUGGGCGUAAAGCGCGUGCAGGCGGCUGGGUAAGUUGGGCGUGAAAUCUCCCGGCUCAACUGGGAGAGGUCGUCCAAAACUACCUGGCUAGAGGGCAGUAGAGGGAGGUGGAAUUCCCGGUGUAGUGGUGAAAUGCGUAGAUAUCGGGAGGAACACCAGUGGCGAAAGCGGCCUCCUGGACUGUACCUGACGCUCAGACGCGAAAGCUAGGGGAGCGAACGGGAUUAGAUACCCCGGUAGUCCUAGCUGUAAACGAUGUGAACUAGGCGUGGGUGGGGUAAAAGCCAUCCGUGCCGCAGCCAACGCGCUAAGUUCACCGCCUGGGGACUACGGCCGCAAGGUUAAAACUCAAGGAAUUGGCGGGGGCCCGCACAAGCAGCGGAGCGUGUGGUUUAAUUCGAUGCUACGCGAAGAACCUUACCCGGUCUUGACAUGCANUAGUAGGGAAGCGAAAGUGGACCGACCUUCGGGAGCCUGCACAGGUGCUGCAUGGCUGUCGUCAGCUCGUGUCGUGAGA